GUAAUAUUGGCUUACUUUGUGCAAUUGGAAAUUCCACCCCUUUUAAAUAGAAUAUUGACGUGUCUCCAUCUUUUUUCAUGUCCGUAGAGGAGAGGAAGCUGCUCUCACUGCGUUUGCUUGGAAUGCAGUCCAUAUAUUCGUUAAAAUGUCACAAUGAAUAGGGCUUCUGCUGUAGGAUUUAAUGGACCUCGUCCAUUCUCU
rnacentral:misc_RNA from 1 species